AUUCAUAGUCAGAUAUCAUUACACGCUUCAGAUGGGCAAGCCAGCAUAUAAAUUCAUCAAACCUGUGUAUGUGCCUCACAGAGAAAGUGUCACGUGGUUUACUUGAAUGUUUACAAACACAAGUUAGUCACCACGUGGCGCUAAUUUCUGUCAAGGCUGGCUUUGUUUAUGUGUAGGCCACUACGGGUUCUACGAAUGAAGACGGCAGGGGCAUUGGUAUAUAAAUAAGAGCAAUUAGCUCGUGCAAGCAUAAUUCAAAACAUAGAAUAGGGCAAUAGUGUUCAAGAGUAAUUAAUAAAGGUAAGAAACCGCAUUUUUAUUAUAUUCAAAAUGUUUUAUUUAUGGCAAAUAUAUCAGUAUUGAAAUUUUUAAAUUACAAUUUUAUGCUUUUAUCAUCAAUGACAUCAAUCUAGUAUUGGACACUAAUUUGUGCCACCAGAAAAAUUUGGUCGAUUAUUUCAAACUAGUAAACACAGGUGUGAGUCCAGGAUUUUGCUGUCGUUGAAAAGGGGUGCUCUUAGCAAAACAACAUUAGAAAUGGGUCAAGAAUAGAAUAAAACAGGAAAUAUGAAUAGUAUAGAUAGCUCCGUAUGGAACAGGGCUUGUCCCCUGUCCUCUAUCCUAGUAUCUGUCAUUUACAUGUAUCAUUUCUUGAGAAAUGCAAAAACAUCGAUAAUCCGGUAAACAGAAAAAUGUUUAUGUUUCUGUUUUAUAUGGCGUCUUGUAAUCGCGGCUAUAUUAUAUUUUUUUUAUGCGUUGACAUCUUUAUAAGACUUCGACGUCCGAGGCAUCACCUCAAAAUUAAAACAAUUUGACAAAAUAAAAAAAAUAAUUGCCGCUUUUCAAAUAUACAAAAUGUAAGUAAUACUGCUAUAUUUUUCUGUGAAAUGCAUUUUUGUCUCGUCAAUUAUAUUGUUCAUUUAUUUCAUUUCAGUGAGUUAAUCAUGGAGAAAAAAGAAAUGAGGGAUUUUUUGGGAACAACCACCCAUUUUAAUCCUGCUAUGAAUCAAGUCAACCCAGAUGAUGCUUCUAACGCAAAAUUCAAUUUAAAAGGUGCACAUUUUAUGGGAGCUAAUCUCCAGGCUGAGGUCAGGACGCAUGAAAAUGUGAAUAUUUGAUCAAAAAUUUAGACGCACGAGAUCAGAAAGUUGUGGAAGUGAAGGAGAACCUUCAUCACCCAUUGGCUCACCAAUAACUACCCUACUACUCCAUACUGCCAUGCAAGCCCCAGGACAAUCAAUAGCAAACAGUCUAAAAAUGAAGGAGCUUAGACAUGAAUUUGAUUUCAAAUAAACAUUUCGUCCAAGAACUAAUUCUAGUCGGAUUGGUUGUUUUAAAAAGACUAUAGUGCUACCUCACGAGGGUAUAUAUGUGUACAUAUUGUAGUGAUCUCUCAUUGGUUUGAUUUUCCAUGAAUGAGUGCAAAGAUAUGACUGAUUGUUUGCGAUCAAAUCGCUAUCGUGGUGAUAAUAAAAUUGUGUUUAGUGUGCAUAAGGUCUCAUAAUGAUAUUUUUUGUAUACAAUAUUUUUUGUCAAAAAUAAAUUGUUCUACAAAGUUUCAGGAGUUUAACGAGUUAUAAUCAAGCCGCUGGCCUAGUUUUGCGGCAAGCGUGUGUUGUUUACAGUUUACAGAAUAAACUAGGUCAGUGUCCUUGAUGAUUACAAGUCACCUGGAAAGUAUUUAUAAAUC
rnacentral:lncRNA from 1 species